GCGGGUGUGGCGGAAUUGGCAGACGCGCUAGAUUUAGGAUCUAGUGCCUUUGGCGUGGAGGUUCGAGUCCUCUCACCCGCA
rnacentral:tRNA from 1 species